UACGUAGGUGACGAGCGUUGUCCGGAUUUACUGGGCGUAAAGAGCGCGCAGGCGGUCGUUCAAGUCGAGUGUGAAAGCCCCCGGCUCAACUGGGGAGGGUCACUCGAUACUGAUCGACUUGAAGGCAGGAGAGGGUAGUGGAAUUCCCGGUGUAGUGGUGAAAUGCGUAGAUAUCGGGAGGAACACCAGUGGCGAAGGCGACUACCUGGCCUGUUCUUGACGCUGAGGCGCGAAAGCUAGGGGAGCAAACGGG
rnacentral:rRNA from 1 species